GUUUUAAUCCCUUGGAGGGAUUCUUUAUGUAUGGAAC
rfam:Herpetosiphon aurantiacus DSM 785, complete genome.